rnacentral:rRNA from 1 species
GAUGAACGCUGGCGGCGUGCCUAAUGCAUGCAAGUCGAGCGAACGGACGAGAAGCUUGCUUCUCUGAUGUUAGCGGCGGACGGGUGAGUAACACGUGGAUAACCUACCUAUAAGACUGGGAUAACUUCGGGAAACCGGAGCUAAUACCGGAUAAUAUUUUGAACCGCAUGGUUCAAAAGUGAAAGACGGUCUUGCUGUCACUUAUAGAUGGAUCCGCGCUGCAUUAGCUAGUUGGUAAGGUAACGGCUUACCAAGGCAACGAUGCAUAGCCGACCUGAGAGGGUGAUCGGCCACACUGGAACUGAGACACGGUCCAGACUCCUACGGGAGGCAGCAGUAGGGAAUCUUCCGCAAUGGGCGAAAGCCUGACGGAGCAACGCCGCGUGAGUGAUGAAGGUCUUCAGAUCGUAAAACUCUGUUAUUAGGGAAGAACAUAUGUGUAAGUAACUGUGCACAUCUUGACGGUACCUAAUCAGAAAGCCACGGCUAACUACGUG